GGCACACGACAGGGGAGCGCACCAAUGCGCUGAGAGUGCGGGCGACCGCAGACCCUCGAACCUGAUCCGGUUAACACCGGCGUAGGGAGUCGGGCCUUCUCAGGU
rnacentral:ncRNA from 2 species